UACGGGGGGUGCAAGCGUUGUUCGGAUUUACUGGGCGUAAAGGGCGCGUAGGCGGUUCGAUAAGUCAGCUGUGAAAACCAUGGGCUUAACUCAUGGCCUGCAGUUGAGACUGUCGGGCUGGAGUGUGGGAGAGGAGAGUGGAAUUCCUGGUGUAGCGGUGAAAUGCGUAGAUAUCAGGAGGAACACCGGUGGCGAAGGCGGCUCUCUGGACCACAACUGACGCUGAGGCGCGAAAGCUAGGGGAGCAAACAGG
rnacentral:rRNA from 1 species